GUUGACUCCAUCUCCAGACCUAGCUCACCAAAGAAACUCAGCAAAUAUUCCUCUAAUUUCCCUUCAGAAAUUUGUUCACUUAUCCCUCUAAAACGUAUGUUGUUCCGUCGACUACGAUCUUCCAGAUCGGAUAAUUUUUGUUCCAUCACAUUAUAUUUCUUAGCAAGCUGCUCGUAUUGAGAUUUUAGCUCUCCCUGCAGGUAAUCCACUGCCCCUAGUUUUUCUUCUAUAUUCACCACUUUUUGGUUUAACAGAGCAAUUUCUGUUUUGAUUUCUUGUACAUUGGAUUGGAUUACUAAAGUCAUUUUAUCACACAGUUGCUGUUGACUCUUAUCCAAUAUAUCAGAGAAUGCUACUUGAAACUCUUUGCUCAUGGGUACAUUUGUUUCUCUGUCUUCAACUUGAGUAAAUUACGUUCCCUGCUCGCCAUCUUUUUUCCCAGAAGAUUGAGCAGAGAAAAAAAUUAGACAACUGUGUCGGAUCUUUAAUUUCUUUUUUGUCUUUUUUUAAAGCUUUGUUUUCAGGGUUCUUCUUGGAGGGCAAUUUUAAAAGACCUGCUUACCCCAAUCACCACAAGAGAAAAAGAAUAUUCAGUAUGGUUUCUAUGCCUAAUUGUAUAAUUAGUUUUAGCCAACACCCUGUAGCCAAU